rnacentral:rRNA from 1 species
UACGUAGGGGGCUAGCGUUGUCCGGAUUUAUUGGGCGUAAAGAGCGUGUAGGCGGCCAGGUAGGUCUGCUGUGAAAACUCGAGGCUCAACCUCGAGACGUCGGCGGAAACCAUCUGGCUAGAGUCCGGAAGAGGAGAGUGGAAUUCCUGGUGUAGCGGUGAAAUGCGCAGAUAUCGGGAAGAACACCCGUGGCGAAGGCGGUUCUCUGGGACGGUACUGACGCUGAGACGCGAAAGCUAGGGGAGCAAACGGG